rnacentral:tRNA from 2 species
NGUGGAGCAGCCUGGUAGCUCGUCGGGCUCAUAACCCGAAGGUCGUCGGUUCAAAUCCGGCCCCCGCAACCA